UGCAAAUGAUGAUAAAAUCAAGGAACGUUUCUUAAAACAUAUGCAGUUGCGCCCAAGAGCAUAUACCUCAGAUCCUUCCUUGGAUGUCUGAUGCA
rnacentral:snoRNA from 16 species